GAUGAACGCUGGCGGCGUGCCUAAUACAUGCAAGUCGAGCGAACAGACGAGGAGCUUGCUCCUCUGACGUUAGCGGUGGACGGGUGAGUAACACGUGGAUAACCUACCUAUAAGACUGGGAUAACUUCGGGAAACCGGAGCUAAUACCGGAUAACGUGUUGAACCGCAUGGUUCAACAGUGAAAGACGGUCUUGCUGUCACUUAUAGAUGGAUCCGCGCCGCAUUAGCUAGUUGGUAAGGUAACGGCUUACCAAGGCAACGAUGCGUAGCCGACCUGAGAGGGUGAUCGGCCACACUGGAACUGAGACACGGUCCAGAAUCCUACGGGAGGCAGCAGUAGGGAAUCUUCCGCAAUGGGCGAAAGCCUGACGGAGCAACGCCGCGUGAGUGAAGAAGGUCUUCGGAUCGUAAAACUCUGUUAUUAGGGAAGAACAAAUGUGUAAGUAACUAUGCACGCCUUGACGGUACCUAAUCAGAAAGCCACGGCUAACUACGUGCCAGCCGCCGCCGUAA
rnacentral:rRNA from 1 species